AGGUCAAUCGCGUAAAUAAAGCAUUUUGUUUUGUUUGGAAGUGCCAUUUGAUCACUGCUCGGACUGGACGGAACCUGAGACGACGGAACGACAGUAAAUAUCAGUUCUUCCGCUAUAAUCCUCGGAACGACAGCCAGCAAGAAGCUUGCCACUAUGAAAAAUUGAUUGCAUAUGCCAUGAAAGUGCCCAGCCGAGUGAUGCCGACACGAAUGGUUCAUCUGGAAAUUGAUCAACGAGCUAUAAAGGGUAUGACGAACAAAACUCUGGACCGUCAAACUUCUCUAGUGGCGGAUUCUUGGAUUAUUGUACCAGUCAGCUGUUGGAGUGUAUCCGAGGUGAUAACUUCCAAUGCUACUGCGUAAAAACAGUAAUCCGCCAUCACGACAAUGAAGAGAUUCCUGGUUCCAAUGAUAUCCCCAAUUAUCAAUGGAAAGUACUUGCACGAAAGCUUUAAUGGCUCCAAGUCUAGCGAAAUGAAAGAUCAGAGCAUCAUCUUCCACUCAAGUUCUUUCGGCUCCAACGCUAUCCACCAUCAGCAAUCAGGAGGCGGAAUUCACGAUUACGACGAAAAUGAGAAUAUUCUUGGGGCUUUUGAUUCACAUCGGUAGUGGUUUUUUUUUUUGAAAGCUUCAGAGCUCAUGUUUAGGUACAAUAUGCAUGUUACUGAAGCGCUUCGUAUUGCAAUGUUUCAGACGAAUCGGCCGAGAAAAAAAAGCCCUAUGCCAUGCUGCACCCUACUCUUAGUAGACAGUCCCCUAUAGUCACACUAGUGGCCUUUUUACUAUUAAUCGUUGCAAUACAUUUUUUUUUUACAUGAAGGUCAGCUAUUUAUGUAAGUACCAUUGAUUUACAGUUCGAUUUUGUAAAAAAAAAUAAUUGAAAUAGAUAGUUUCGAUUAAAAUUUGAACUCCUUUGCACCUACAGUAGACCUAAAAAAGGAAGAACUAAGAACUUUUUUUUCAUCAAUUGAAAGCUUUUGAUCCAUACAUUAUUGAAAGCCUCUCUCUUUAAAUUAUUACUUAAUUAAUUUACCUAAAUAGCAAUAAUUAUUGAAAAAAGAAUAAAAAAUGCGCGAUUCGAUACAAUCCCGCACACUUUAGCACACUCGAUGAAAUGCUAUCGGAUUAAUGCUGACAGCUGUCCCGACCUUCCGGUACCUUAUUGUAAGCUUUCCAAAAUA